GCGCGCGCGGCGCGGGCACCACGUGACCCGGUGCCGGGUCACUCCCCGGGCCCCGCCAUGUCGGAGUUGGCCCCGCCCCCGGGGAGGGGAAAUGGCGGGGAUAAAGCCGUCUGUCCCGCUCCUCCUUAGCCUGGUGCUGCUUGCCGUGGUGCUCUUUUAUCCAGUAUACCCACAAGGGAGUAAAUCAGAAAGAGGAGACUGAGAAUGUUACAGGAAUCCAACUGUAUGUUUGGUUUAUUUUGUGUUCUAGUAUUACGCCGUGCACGGUGUUUGUUAGUCACAUGCAGUAUUACUGCAGGCAGACUGUAGUGGAGCUGUGCUUUGAAAGCUGCCUGGAGAUUUCAUAGGACAAGAAGUAUUCCUCCUGCCUCCUUAGUGGAGUGAAUCAGCAUGCAGAAGCUUCAGGGAGAGCUUUCCAUUUGAUUUUUAAGUUCCACUACAGGAAGAAGCCUUUGUCUUUAACAAAGUAUCUUGGAUAACCCUAUGGAAAUGGGACUGCCCACUAAUCCCCUGACUCCAGUAGAUCUUGAAUAUUACCGCACUAUAUACAGAGAUUCUUAAUCAUACAGAAAGAUAAUAAGAAGCUUACUUUGCAAGAUCUCUGUGCAACUCCUUAUUAAGUGAAUGGAGCUUUUGCACUUGAAAGCUUAUGGCAUAGAAUAAUGUCUUGGUAGAAGACAAACAGCUUUAUAGGUUUUGUGUGCAAUCUAAACUUGCUUUUGCCAGUAGACACAUGAGAACAGACUGCCUACUUUGCUUCUCCAUAGUUACCUGACCAACCUCUUCUGAUCUGGUGUGUAGGCUGGCAAGAUUAUGAGACUAGACAAAGUUUUAUUGUAGGUGCAAGACUUAAGAUCAAAGUAUGUCAGAAAUUCCUUCUUCUCUGCUACUACAGCAUUACUUCUGUUGUCUACUGCCCAUCACAGACUGCUCAGAACCAACAACCAUUAAAUAAAGACUAAUUCUUUUGGAAAAAAAAACCAGUUUUUACCUGAAGAGGAGUUGUGAACAUAGGGAACUUUGGACAUAGAGGAAAGAAACAGAUACAGAAAUAUAUACUACAUGGAUGAGGGAAGAGCAGCUGACAUCCUCUACCUGGACGUGUGUAAAGAAUUUGGCACUGUCCCAUACAACAUUUUUUCCUCUAAAUGGGAGAGACGUGGAUGUCAGAUGGACCACUCAGUGGAUAAGGAAUUGGCUGGAUGGUUGCAGUCAAGAGUUGUGGUCCAUGGCUUGAUGUCUGAGUGAAGACCAGUGACGAGUGGUGUUCCUCAGGGGUCAGUAUUGGCAUCAGCACUGUUUAACAUCUGUUGGUGUAACACACAGUGGGACUGAGUCCACCCUCAGCAAAUUUGCUGAUGGCACCAAGCUGUGUGGUGUGGUCAGCAUGCUGGAGGGAAGGGAUGGCAUCUAGAAGGACCUUGACAGGCUUGAGAGGUGGGCCUCUGGGAACCUGAUGGAGUUCAACAAGGCCAAGUGCAAGGUCCUGCACAUGGGUUGGGGCAAUCCCAAGCACAAAUAGAAGCUGAGCCAUGAGUAGGUUGAGAGCAGCCCUGUGAAGGAGACUUAGGAGUGAAUGGAAAAGGAAUGAGCUAGCAAUAUGUGUCUGCAGCCCAGAAAUCAACUCUGUCCUGGACUGCAUCAAAAGUAGUGUGGCCAGCAGGUCGAGGGAGGUGAUUCUUCCCUGCUAUUCAGCUUUUCUGAUAGCCCACCUGCAGUACUGUGUCCAACUGGGCUCCUCAAUGUAAGAAGGACAUGGACCUGUUGGAGUGAGUCCAGAGGAAGGCUGCAAAGAUGAUCAUAGGACUGGAGUACCUCUCCCGUGAAGACAGGCUUGAGAGAGUCGAGAUUGUUCAUCCUAGAGAAGAGAAGGCUCUGGGAAGAGAGCAGCCUUCCAGUACCUAAAAGGGCCUAUGAAGCUGUAGAGGGUCUUUGUAAAAAGGCAAGUAAUGAUAGGACAAGGAGUGAUGGUUUCAAACUGAAAGGUGGAUUUAAACUAGAUAUAAGGAGAGGGUAGUGAGGCACAAGAACAGGUUGCCCUGAGAGGCUGUGGCUGCUCCAUCCCUGACAGUAUUCUGGGCCAGAUUGGGUGGGGAUUUGAGCAACCUAGACUGGUGAAAAUUGUCCCUGCCCAUGGAAAGGGGGUUGGAACUAGAUGCUUUUGAAGUUCCUUUCCAACCCAAACCGUUCUAUCCGAUGGUUAGUAAUCUGUCUGGUGCAUUAUGGGGUUUAUAAGAACAACUGUAACCAAGUGACACAAAUACAUGUUCGGAUUGUCACAUUAAAAGUACUUAUUCACUGCUUUAGGAAAUCUGCACAAUAGGAAGCAAGUUUGGUUUUUUUUUUUUCAAUUAGGAAUCACAAAUAACAUAUUUUGUGAAUCACUUAUUUGGAAAUAAGUGCCUGUGAUUUUUAAGGCAGCCACCAUUUUGAGUUUGAGUCAAUUUCUAGGCAUGUGGGUAAGCCAGUAUUAAAAAAUUUUAGGAAUGUGAAACUGGUCACCACUGUGCUACUUUUGUCUCUGGUAACUCAGUGGUUCUAGUUCUUUAUCCUCUUUCUUGUUUGGUAUUUUAAAAUAAAGUAUUUAAUUUUGGAUCCAAUUAAAUUUUACUUCAAAGGGUUCUGUACUGUGCCACCUGGGGUGAGAAG